UUGUCGUCGGCGGCUCUUGUAAUUCUUUUCUUAUGUCGAUUGCAGUAUGUUCUCAAUUGACGAUAUAUUUUUCUUAUUUUUUUAAAAAAGUUUCCCCUUCCUCUUUUACUGGUUUCUUUUUCUUUUACUUGAAAACGUAGCAUUAGGGGGGAAUUUUUUUUAAAACGUUGGGUUUGGUGACACGGUUUUCUUAUUAAUCCUAAUUAGUCUACAAGAUUACCCGUUCAUCUUUUUUCCCCGUGACUUUUUCGAGUUCUUGCACAGAGAAAUCUGCCACUCUUUCACUUAUUCUCUUCUCUUUAUUAUUAUUAUUUGCUUGGUUCGAAAUUUCGAGAUUGAUGUAAAGUCACUAAACCUUUUCAAUGUCUGUGUGCAUAUGUUGCGUUGUACAUGAAAAAAAAAUUAAAACAACAGAGACGAAGUGUGGUUUUCUGUUAGAGCACGCGGGCUCGUUUACAUUUAUUUUUUCUUUCUUUUUCUCUCUCUCCAAUCAGGAAAAUUCGAAAAAAAAUUUCAUUGGUCGUCGAUUUUUUUUUAAACAAAAAUUUACUACUCUUUGGCAGCCAAGCCAGUCUAGUUUAGUCUAGUCAGCCAACCAACCAGCAUUUUUUUCAUAUUCUCUUUUUUUUUCUCUUUUCUAAUCACCACCGCUCUCCACUCUGAAAAACGUGCCAAUUGUUUUACACGCUUUUCACUUUAUCUCUACAAAGUUGUGUGUCUUUUGAUAUUGUAUAGCUUGUGCAAAUCUAGCGCUAUAGGAGGAUGUUGUUUAUCCCUUAUUUGUUUGUUUCUCUUCUCCUCCCUUUGUAAGGAAUGUUUAUAUUUCCCUAAAGCAAUUUAAAACCUAUUAUUUAUCCUUCCAGAAUGGAACCUUUCCUUUUUUCCUUUACUUAGACAUCACUCUUCUUCUGUGGUAAAUUUUUUUUUAAAGAAAUUUUUUGCUUGCAAUGGACUGGGGUAUAUUAGUACCCUACCUUGUGGUAAAUUGAAAGAGAUUGCUCUCAGUGUAUGUGUGUGUGUGUGUGUGUGUAAAAAGGGAAAUGCUGUUUCAUUUGUCUUUUUUUUAUAUAUGGAGACUUGGUGUUAUAUUUUUGAUUUUCCUCAAAUUCUCUUUUUCUCAAAUACUUUUUUAAACAAAAUGAUGUUUGGGUUGGCGACAACUGUUAAUAAUUUUCCUCUUUAUAAUAAUUUUUUCGUCAGUUCCAAUUUAAUGAAAGUGGGCAGUUAGUUACUUAGUUUUAUAUACAACGUUUCCAAAACAAGUGCAGUCGCGAGACUUUAGGAAAGUAUAGUAAAUCGAGUUAUAUAAAUUUUUUUAUCUUUU